rnacentral:rRNA from 1 species
CGAAGAACCUUACCAGGUCUUGACAUCCUUUGACCACUCUAGAGAUAGAGCUUCCCCUUCGGGGGCAAAGUGACAGGUGGUGCAUGGUUGUCGUCAGCUCGUGUCGUGAGAUGUUGGGUUAAGUCCCGCAACGAGCGCAACCCUUAUUGUUAGUUGCCAUCAUUCAGUUGGGCACUCUAGCAAGACUGCCGGUGACAAACCGGAGGAAGGUGGGGAUGACGUCAAAUCAUCAUGCCCCUUAUGACCUGGGCUACACACGUGCUACAAUGGGAAGUACAACGAGUCGCGAAGUCGCGAGGCUAAGCUAAUCUCUUAAAGCUUCUCUCAGUUCGGAUUGCAGGCUGCAACUCGCCUGCAUGAAGCCGGAAUCGCUAGUAAUCGCGGAUCAGCACGCCGCGGUGAAUACGUUCCCGGGCCUUGUACACACCGCCCGUCACACCACGAGAGUUUGUAACACCCGAAGUCGGUGAGGUAACCUUUUUGGAGCCAGCCGCCUAAGGUGGGAUAGAUGAUUGGGGUGAAGUCGUAACAAGGUAGCCGUAUCGGAAGGUGCGGCUGGAUCACCUCCUUUCUAAGGAA